AGAUUGAACGCUGGCGGCAGGCCUAACACAUGCAAGUCGAGCGGUAGAGAGGUGCUUGCAUCUCUUGAGAGCGGCGGACGGGUGAGUAAUGCCUAGGAAUCUGCCUAGUGGUGGGGGAUAACGUUCGGAAACGGACGCUAAUACCGCAUACGUCCUACGGGAGAAAGCGGGGGACCUUCGGGCCUCGCGCCAUUAGAUGAGCCUAGGUCGGAUUAGCUAGUUGGUGAGGUAAUGGCUCACCAAGGCGACGAUCCGUAACUGGUCUGAGAGGAUGAUCAGUCACACUGGAACUGAGACACGGUCCAGACUCCUACGGGAGGCAGCAGUGGGGAAUAUUGGACAAUGGGCGAAAGCCUGAUCCAGCCAUGCCGCGUGUGUGAAGAAGGUCUUCGGAUUGUAAAGCAACUUUAAGUUGGAGGAAGGUUGUAACCUAAUACGUUGCAAUUUGACGUUACGACAAGAAUAAGCACCGGCUAACUUCGUGCCAGCAGCCG
rnacentral:rRNA from 1 species